UACAGAGGGGGCAAGCGUUGUUCGGAAUUACUGGGCGUAAAGGGCGCGUAGGCGGCCUUCUAAGUCGAACGUGAAAUCCCCGGGCUCAACCCGGGAACUGCGUCUGAUACUGGGAGGCUAGAGUAUGGGAGAGGGAUGUGGAAUUCCAGGUGUAGCGGUGAAAUGCGUAGAUAUCUGGAGGAACACCGGUGGCGAAGGCGGCAUCCUGGACCAUUACUGACGCUGAUCCGCGAAAGCUAGGGGAGCAAACGGG
rnacentral:rRNA from 1 species